rnacentral:rRNA from 1 species
UGGGGAAUAUUGCACAAUGGGCGCAAGCCUGAUGCAGCCAUGCCGCGUGUAUGAAGAAGGCCUUCGGGUUGUAAAGUACUUUCAGCGGGGAGGAAGGGAGUAAAGUUAAUACCUUUGCUCAUUGACGUUACCCGCAGAAGAAGCACCGGCUAACUCCGUGCCAGCAGCCGCGGUAAUACGGAGGGUGCAAGCGUUAAUCGGAAUUACUGGGCGUAAAGCGCACGCAGGCGGUUUGUUAAGUCAGAUGUGAAAUCCCCGGGCUCAACCUGGGAACUGCAUCUGAUACUGGCAAGCUUGAGUCUCGUAGAGGGGGUUAGAAUUCCAGGUGUAGCGGUGAAAUGCGUAGAGAUCUGGAGGAAUACCGGUGGCGAAGGCGGCCCCCUGGACGAAGACUGACGCUCAGGUGCGAAAGCGUGGGGAGCAAACAGG